GCGAACGCUGGCGGCAGGCCUAACACCUGCCAGUCGAACGAACCUUUCGGGGUUAGUGGCGGACGGGUGAGUAACACGUGGGAACGUGCCUUUAGGUUCGGAAUAACUCAGGGAAACUUGUGCUAAUACCGAAUGUGCCCUUCGGGGGAAAGAUUUAUCGCCUUUAGAGCGGCCCGCGUCUGAUUAGCUAGUUGGUUGAGGUAAUGGCUCACCAAGGCGACGAUCAGUAGCUGGUCUGAGAGGAUGAUCAGCCACAUUGGGACUGAGACACGGCCCAAACUCCUACGGGAGGCAGCAGUGGGGAAUCUUGCGCAAUGGGCGAAAGCCUGACGCAGCCAUGCCGCGUGAAUGAUGAAGGUCUUAGGAUUGUAAAAUUCUUUCACCGGGGACGAUAAUGACGGUACCCGGAGAAGAAGCCCCGGCUAACUUCGUG
rnacentral:rRNA from 1 species